AUUGAACGCUGGCGGCAUGCUCUACACAUGCAAGUCGAACGGUAACAGGUUAAGCUGACGAGUGGCGAACGGGUGAGUAAUGCAUCGGAACGUGCCCGAUCGUGGGGGAUAACACUUCGAAAGAAGUGCUAAUACCGCAUACGAUCUGAGGAUGAAAGCGGGGGACCGUAAGGCCUCGCGCGAUCGGAGCGGCCGAUGUCAGAUUAGGUAGUUGGUGGGGUAAAGGCCUACCAAGCCGACGAUCUGUAGCUGGUCUGAGAGGACGACCAGCCACACUGGGACUGAGACACGGCCUAGACUCCUACGGGAGGCAGCAGUGGGGAAUAUUGGACAAUGGGCGAAAGCCUGAUCCAGCAAUGCCGCGUGUGUGAAGAAGGCCUGCGGGUUGUAAAGCACUUUCAGUGGGGAGGAAGGGUUAUAUUCGAAUAGAGUAUGACAUUGACGCUACCCACAGAAGAAGCACCGGCUAACUCUGUGCCAGCCGCCGCUGUAA
rnacentral:rRNA from 1 species